UAAAAGUAGUAUCGUAAAUGAAAUUCUCAUUUGAUAUGCUAUACCAUGUUUUGUUGUUAUGUAAUGGACGAUUUUCGACAACAUGUUUACGUAAUCCUUCAUUAGAUUGAAACGUAUCAAGAUGUAUCUGUUUCUCAACAAUCCUAUUUUGCAAUCUCCUUUCACUUUGCAUUGUUUAGGAAUUAGGGUCCUUAAUUCAUUCAGCUCUGGCCAUCCACAGGAAAACUUUCUUAUGACAGCUAGUUGCAACUCCUC
rnacentral:lncRNA from 1 species